rnacentral:tRNA from 1 species
AAGGUUUUAGCUUAUUUAAAGUGUCUGUUUUGCAUGCAGGGGAUGUGGGGUAAUGUCCCGCAAGUCUUA